CUCCUCCCUUCUCAAACCGUGCUCAAACUGAUUUUCUGAUAUCCCAAUAUUAGCAGCUUCAUAAUUUCAACGUCUUUCUCUCAAAUGAUACUCCAAGAUUUCACUUCAGCAUUUCGAUUUCUGUUCUAUCCACUUAGCUGUUUUAUCCAUUUACUUGCUUCUCUCUUCCGUAAUAGCCCACGUCUUUGAGUCAUACUGAUGUAUA